CUUUUAAUGAGAGUUUGAUCCUGGCUCAGGACGAACGCUGGCGGCGUGCCUAAUAC
rnacentral:rRNA from 1 species